UAGCUCAGUUGGUUAGAGCAUGAUGCUGAUAACACCAAGGUCGUGGGUUCGAUCCCUGU
rnacentral:tRNA from 1 species